UGGUGAUUAGUUUAACUAAAAUUAAUGAUUUCGACUCAUUAGAUUAUGACAUAUCUCAUAAUCACCAA
ensembl:Mt_tRNA